AUUUAAGCAGGUUGUUAAGCUUAUUCCUUCCAAUCGGACCACGUAGAAACCAUUGAUCCUUGACAGCAGGUGUUCUGGUGUGUGUGACCACAGCCAAGUAAAAUGGGUCUUCAUCUCCUAAAGAAGAAAUACUGACAGUGGGCAUCUGUCAGUUCCUGUUGCGUACAUUCUUGGCUUUUGACGGCGGAUGUUGGACGGAUCAAUACCAGUGCGAGUUUUUGUCUGGCGUUCAUUAUACUCAAGGUACUCUGUUCCAGUGGCACUGUCAAAUCCAAGCUUUACAUCACCCCACAUCAGUUGCCUGGAUAAAUUGGUUGUUUCAGGGCGAAUGUGGACUAAGUGUAUAUUCACUAUAAACAUCCAGAUACCUACCGGUCAAGACUGCUGAUCAUGCCUCGGAUUGUAGAUGGCUCAUACUCUUCACCAUUUUU